rnacentral:rRNA from 1 species
GACAGAGGGUGCAAACGUUGUUCGGAAUUACUGGGCGUAAAGCGCGUGUAGGCGGCUUGGCAAGUCGGGUGUGAAAUCCCCGGGCUCAACCCGGGAAGUGCACUCGAAACUGGCGGGCUAGAGUACUGGAGAGGUUGGUGGAAUUCUCGGUGUAGAGGUGAAAUUCGUAGAUAUCGAGAGGAACACCGGUGGCGAAGGCGGCGUUCUGGACUGUCUCUGACACUGAAGAACGAAAGCCAGGGGAGCAAACGGG